rnacentral:lncRNA from 1 species
GAAUGCAUGUCAUCCUGUCCAGUCCUUAGUCACAGGGACUGGAUAGUAUGCUUCUUUGUCCCUUGUUUCCCUCUGCAAGACCUCGUUAGGUCCUGCAACUCUGCUCUUCCUGCAUUGUCAUCUCCCUUACUGGAAGUGACACUCAUCACUUCUGCCCAUAUAUCUCUGGCCCGAACUCAGUCACAUGGCUGCAGCUUACUGCAAGGAAGAUGGGAAAUACAGUCUAGUGAUGGGCCCAAGAAAAAGUAGAGACUGCUUUAAUGAAGCAUGAACAUGCCUUAAGAACAAAUAAUGGUAUGAAGAACAUCCCCAUACAUGCCUCCUUGGCAGGUACAUGAAUUUAAUUUCAUUAAUUACUCAUCGGAGGUAAGGCUGGCAUCCUGAGAUGCCUGGCACCCCCUAAUAGUUUUAAACUUUGACAUUGGAUGUUACAGAGAAGGGGUAAAAGAAGAGAACUGACAAGAAAAAGAUGGCUACCCCAAGGCCAGGAUCUUUAGAGAAAAAUAAUCUGACCCUUUGCCUGCCAAGGUUCUCUAGAUGACAUGUGCAACAUAGUUGUUUGCUUGUAUGUGCUUGUAUAUAUCUGUAUUUGUAUGGGGAAGUUGUGUGUAUGUGUUUGUAUGCAUGCUGUGGUCUGAGUGCGUCCCCCAAAAUUCAUGUUUAAACUUAAUCCCCAAUGCAACAGUAUUAAGAGGUGGGGCCUUUAGGAGGUGAUUAGACCAACAGACCUCAUGAAUGGAUUAGUGCCUUAUAAAAGGCUUGAGGGGAUGAGCUCACCCCUUUAUGAGAAUGACGUCUGGUUUCACUUAAUAAGUCAUUUUGUU